rnacentral:lncRNA from 1 species
GCCGAAUCGGGAAAAGAUCUCAGACGGUCUUUCUGAGUCGGGCUGUCCUGGGGAGGAGCCUCUUGAGCCUCCAAGGGCCCUGCUACCCGCCCAAGACCCCAGGGGGUGCUGAGACCUAGUGGACCAGCUGCAUAGGACUGCCAGCUCCAGGCAGGACCCCCUGCAGCCCAGAAAAGCUGCAACAAGCCUGGCCGACUUGGGAAAAGAUCUCAGACGGUCUUUCUGAGUCGGGCUGUCCUGGGGAGGAGCCUCUUGAGCCUCCAAGGGCCCUGCUACCCGCCCAAGACCCCAGGGGGUGCUGAGACCUAUGGACCAGCUGCAUAGGACUGCCAGCUCCAGGCAGGACCCCCUGCAGCCCAGAAAAGCUGCAACAAGCCUGGCCGACUUGGGAAAAGAUCUCAGACGGUCUUUCUGAGUCGGGCUGUUCUGGGGAGGAGCCUCUUGAGCCUCCAAGGGCCCUGCUACCCGCCCAAGACCCCAGGGGGUGCUGAGACCUAGUGGACCAGCUGCAUAGGACUGCCAGCUCCAGGCAGGACCCCCUGCAGCCCAGAAAAGCUGCAACAAGCCUGGCCGACUUGGGAAAAGAUCUCAGACGGUCUUUCUGAGUCGGGCUGCCCUGGGGAGGAACCUCUUGAGUCUCCAAGGGCCCUGCUACCCGCCCAAGACCCCAAGGGGUGCUGAGACCUAGUGGACCAGCUGCACAAGCCUGCCAGCUCCCGGCAGGACCCCCUGCAGCCCAGAAAAGCUGCAACAAGCCUGGCGGAAUCGGGAAAAGAUCUCAGACGGUCUUUCUGAGUCGGGCUGCCCUGGGGAGGAACCUCUUGAGUCUCCAAGGGCCCUGCUACCCGCCCAAGACCCCAAGGGGUGCUGAGACCUAGUGGACCAGCUGCACAAGCCUGCCAGCUCCCGGCAGGACCCCCUGCAGCCCAGAAAAGCUGCAACAAGCCUGGCGGAAUCGGGAAAAGAUCUCAGACGGUCUUUCUGAGUCGGGCUGCCCUGGGGAGGAACCUCUUGAGUCUCCAAGGGCCCUGCUACCCGCCCAAGACCCCAGGGGGUGCUGAGAACCAAGUGAAAUCUGCUACCAUCGUGGGGUGGACCUCCCAGUCCUGUCUGCCCUCAGGAAGUCCUCCUUUGCUUCAAAGAAACACUGUUAGUCCCAUCAACACUCCAGAAAAGCCACACUGCCUCAAAAAAAGAUUGACCAACAACGACAGCCCUCAGGAAAUAUUCCAGGGCAGUGACAAGGCAAACACUACCCGAUAACGGAGAGUACAACUCCCUCAGGAGAAAGAAGACAACAAGCAAGAUGAAGAAGCUGAGAAACCACCCCCAGUCAAACCAACAGGAGAACUCACCUAAAACAGUCAACAAUGAAACUGAUCUCU